rnacentral:rRNA from 1 species
CCUACGGGAGGCAGCAGUGGGGAAUCUUGCACAAUGGAGGAAACUCUGAUGCAGCGAUGCCGCGUGAGUGAAGAAGGCCUUUGGGUUGUAAAGCUCUUUUGUAGGGGAAGAUAAUGACUGUACCCUAAGAAUAAGGUCCGGCUAACUUCGUGCCAGCAGCCGCGGUAAUACGAAGGGACCUAGCGUAGUUCGGAAUUACUGGGCGUAAAGCGCGCGUAGGCCGUUGAGUUAGUUAAUUGUGAAAUCCCAAAGCUUAACUUUGGAACUGCAAUUAAAACUGCUCGACUAGAGUUUGAUAGAGGAAAGCGGAAUACAUAGUGUAGAGGUGAAAUUCGUAGAUAUUAUGUAGAACACCAGUUGCGAAGGCGGCUUUCUGGAUCAACACUGACGCUGAGGCGCGAAAGUAUGGGUAGCAAAGAGGAUUAGAUACCCUCGUAGUCCAUACCAUAAACGAUGAUUGCUAGAUGUUGGAAAUUUAUUUUCAGUAUCGCAGCUAACGCAUUAAGCAAUCCGCCUGGGGAGUACGACCGCAAGGUUAAACUUAAGGAAUUGACGG